UACAGAGGGGGCAAGCGUUGUUCGGAAUUACUGGGCGUAAAGGGCGCGUAGGCGCCUUCUAAGUCGAACGUGAAAUCCCCGGGCUCAACCCGGGAACUGCGUCCGAUACUGGAAGGCUUGAAUCCGGGAGAGGGAUGUGGAAUUCCAGGUGUAGCGGUGAAAUGCGUAGAUAUCUGGAGGAACACCGGUGGCGAAGGCGACAUCCUGGACAUGUAUUGACGCUGAGGUGCGAAAGCGUGGGUAGCGAACAGG
rnacentral:rRNA from 1 species